GCCUGUAUAGCUUAGUUGGUUAGAGCAUUGUGCUUGCAUUACAGGGGGUUGGAAUAGAUCAGAGUUUCCCCGAACUCGAGUCUCUUUUUGGACU